rnacentral:rRNA from 1 species
UACUAGGGGAGGCAAGCGUUGUCCGGAAUCAUUGGGCGUAAAGAGCGCGUAGGCGGCCCUGUAAGUCCGCUGUGAAAGUCAAGGGCUCAACCCUUGAAUGCCGGUGGAUACUGCAGGGCUAGAGUCCGGAAGAGGCGAGUGGAAUUCCUGGUGUAGCGGUGAAAUGCGCAGAUAUCAGGAGGAACACCGGUGGCGAAGGCGGGUCUCUGGGCAGUGAACUGACGCUGAGGAGCGAAAGCGUGGGGAGCGAACAGG